UUCGAAGAGCUCGACACCACCAACAUGCUUCUCCAUCAGAAAAUCAUCUUCUUGGGCUCUCAGGGAGCGAUUAGAUCAUGAAAAGAAAAAUAAAUUGAGAAUGGAAGAAUUGAGUUUAAAGAAAGAGAAUUUGGGAAACGAAAUCCGCACAAACCGAGCAAUCGAGCUGACUUUGACAGAGGUGAGUAUUCGACGAUUUUGAUUAGUUAUACAGAAUUGAUAGAACUUUGACAUAUCUUUCUUCUUGAGUAUGUUGUUUAAGGGAUUUGAUUUCUACACCCAAGUGAGGAAUAUUAUAUUAAGGUAUCCUAUAUUCAUAUUGGAAUAAUAGUGUGAAUGGUAUAUGAGCAUAAUAGUGUGAAUUCCAGUAAAAGCUUUGUGGAUUUAGAAUUUGAAGUUGAGGUUUUAUUUUUUAUUUUUUUGGAUUUGAAUUUUGCAGUUUGUGAGAUUUUACUGUUUGUUGAUGUUGUUUUGUUAUCCUUUUCAUGUCAAAGUCCAAUGUAUGAUUUAGCAUGUCAGAUUUGCUGAACCUUUGGGUAGUUAGAACAUAUGCCAAAGUCUCCAAUGGACGGGGUGCCAUUAGAAAGUAAACAUACCACACUGUUAUCAGCCCUUGACCACCAUUUUACACAUUUCGGACCAACUCUUUGAUUGCGUGUUUUCUCUGCUAUGUACUCAGAUGUAUUACAGCUAUAGGGAUAGCUGCAUCACCAAAAGUAGUUCAUUUUUUUACCAGCAAGGUCACACAUAAUACUUCAUUUUGGAUUAGUCAUUUACUUAGCCAUUUUGUCAAAUAUGGUUCUGUUGAGAAAUACCAGGAUGGCAACUAACUAAGCAACAAAUAUUUGGAUGAUCCUUCUGGAAACAACUAUAUAGUUGGUUUGCAAGCUGCAUGAAAGUUUGGUGCUACAUUCAAAUUGGUUAUCAUUUGAUUAUGACACUGCGUCUAGUGUUUGAUGAGUUUAUAGAUGAGGUAGUGCUACAUUUUUUGUUAUGUGAUGCAUUCUUCGUUAUGUGCCACAAACAUAACCGGUGACGUGAAUGUGGAAAAACGUUUUCAAUGGCAUUUGCCAUUGCCUGGCAUCGAUAAGUGAAAAUAGUCUUCGGUCUUUUACCAUCCAUCGCUUCUAAGAAUGUCUCAAAUAACCAAAUAAAUGAAGAAGUCGUUCAUCUAGCAAGAAGGCACAACCAAACAAAACAUUUUUCCAAUGUUGGUUAACGCCAACGAAAGGUGCACAAUCAUGUUAUAUUUAUUGGUUUUAUAAGUAGUAUCAAAUACUACUACAUCGCCAAAGCAUUCAAAGUCGGUUUUCGACUUUCCAUCUCUCCAAAAAAAAGUUUGUCAUCCAAUUCUCUUGAUCAACUUGCACGGUGUAGAAAAACAUGGGAUCUUCAAUUUGCUUUUUCUUGAAUAAGUUUAUCAAGCUCUGAGCGUCCCCUACUUCAAGCAUCUCCAUUCUCUCUCUGCUUACAAAAUUAUAGCAGUCGGUUUUUGUAAAUCCAACAUUUUGAGAUCCCUUGACUUCUUCUGCUAAAUAUGAAUAAGUAGUGCCAGUACUCAUGCCUGCGCUUUUCAUUGAUCUAAGCUUUUCAUUGAUCUAAUCACCCCCUUAUGAGCUACUAAUAGUUUUCGAUUAGAGCGCAAAUACUUUCUUUCUUCUGGGUCUGCAAGUUUGUGGUUGUGUUUAGGAACAAAGAGAGUCACUUUCCAUAAAUUAUUCUCUUGCGAUCCGAAUCGAAUUUUCACUGGGCAACCAGUUCUAGUUUCAAGCUUGUGAGUCUUGUUCACUUCUGAAAGGUCACUAUCUAGUUUGAAACCUUCUUUGGAACAACAAUAAUUCACUUGCCUGACAACAUUGUUGGUUUUCCUCCUCUUGUCUAUCCGAACACUAAACCCUAUUCUGACACCAUACUCACAGUAGAGGUCGUAUGCUUCUUCCUUGCUAUUCACCGUUACUCCAAACAAAUUUUCAUCAUUACUAGCUUGACGAUUCACAAUCAUCGGAUGUUUCUCCAAAUCAGAUGUAAUGAUAUCUUUCUCAUUGUCCUCUAUAUCAAUCACUGUGUAUAUAUACAACUUGUCAGAGAAGAAGCAACCCAGUUGUAAUG